AGGACGAACGCUGGCGGCGUGGAUUAGGCAUGCAAGUUGAGCGACGGAUAGCUUUCGGGUUAUUACGGAGCAGCGAACGGGUGAGUAACACGUGAACAAUCUGUCCCUUCAUUCCGGAUAAUUGGAAGAAAUUCCUUGUAAUACGGGCGAGGGUCCCUGGUAUGCAUGUAUUGGGGAAGGAAGGCGCAAGCCGUGCAGGGAGGAGUUCGCGGCCUAUCAGUUAGUUGGUGGGGUAACGGCCUACCAAGACUACGACGGGUAGCUGGUCUGAGAGGAUGGUCAGCCACAUUGGAACUGAGACACUGUCCAGACUCCUACGGGAGGCUGCAGUCGAGAAUCUUGGGCAAUGCACGAAAGUGUGACCCAGCGACGCCGCGUGAAGGAUGAAGGCCCUCUGGGUCGUAAACUUCUUUUAAGGGGGAAGAAUAAAUGACGGUACCCCUUGAAUAAGCCACGGCUAACUACGUAGCCAGCAGCCGCGGUAAU
rnacentral:rRNA from 1 species